GACGAACGCUGGCGGCGUGCUUAACACAUGCAAGUCGAACGGAAAGGCCCCCAUCUUGGUGGGGGUGCUCGAGUGGCGAACGGGUGAGUAACACGUGGGUGAUCUGCCCUGUACUUCGGGAUAAGCUUGGGAAACUGGGUCUAAUACCGGAUAGGACCAUGGUUUAGUGUCUCAUGGUGGAAAGAUUAUUGUUUUGGUGCAGGAUGAGCUCGCGGCCUAUCAGCUUGUUGGUGGGGUAAUGGCCUACCAAGGCGUCGACGGGUAGCCGGCCUGAGAGGGUGGACGGCCACACUGGGACUGAGAUACGGCCCAGACUCCUACGGGAGGCAGCAGUGGGGAAUAUUGCACAAUGGGCGCAAGCCUGAUGCAGCGACGCCGCGUGGGGGAUGACGGCCUUCGGGUUGUAAACUCCUUUCGUUAGGGACGAAGCCGCACUUUUUUUGGGUGUGGUGACGGUACCUUUGUUAAGAAGCACCGGCUAACUACGUG
rnacentral:rRNA from 1 species